AUUGAACGCUGGCGGCAGGCCUAACGCAUGCAAGUCGAACGGUAACAGGAAGAAGCUUGCUUCUUUGCUGACGAGUGGCGGACGGGUGAGUAAUGUCUGGGAAACUGCCUGGUGGAGGGGGAUAACUACUGGAAACGGUAGCUAAUACCGCAUAACGUCGCAAGACCAAAGAGGGGGACCUUCGGGCCUCUUGCCAUCGGAUGUGCCCAGAUGGGAUUAGCUAGUAGGUGGGGUAACGGCUCACCUAGGCGACGAUCCCUAGCUGGUCUGAGAGGAUGACCAGCCACACUGGAACUGAGACACGGUCCAGACUCCUACGGGAGGCAGCAGUGGGGAAUAUUGCACAAUGGGCGCAAGCCUGAUGCAGCCAUGCCGCGUGUAUGAAGAAGGCCUUCGGGUUGUAAAGUACUUUCAGCGGGGAGGAAGGGAGUAAAGUUAAUACCUUUGCUCAUUGACGUUACCCGCAGAAGAAGCACCGGCUAACUCCGUG
rnacentral:rRNA from 1 species